rnacentral:lncRNA from 1 species
CUGCUUGCCUUCGCUGGGUCGAGCAGAUGCUGGCACACUUGGCUUUUGGUCUCGCCAUAAAACAGGCUUUGAGACAUAGCCUUUGCAUGCCUUAGAAAUUUUACAAAGCUUGGGAGUCUGCUCGCCAUCGCUUGGUCGAGCAGAUCCUGGCACGCUUGGCUUUUGGUCUUGCCAUAAAACAGGCUUUGAGACUUAGCCUUUGUAUGUCAUACAGAUUUUACAACGCUUGGGAGUCAGCACGCCUUCGCUUGGUUGAGCGGAACCUGGCACGUUUGGCUUUUGGUCUCGCCAUAAAACAGGCUUUGAGAUUUAGCCUUUGCAAGUCUUAGAAAUUUUACAACGCUUGGGAGUCUGCUCGCCUUCGCUUGGUCUAGUAGAUCCUGGCACGCUUGGCUUUUGGUCUCGCCAUAAUUGAGGCUUUGAGACUUAGCCUUUGCAUGCCUUAGAAAUUUUUCAACGCUUGGGAGUCUGCUCGCCUUCGCUUGGUCGAGCAGAUCCUUGCACGCUUGGGUUUUGGUCUCGCCAUAAAACAUGCUUUGAGACUUAGCCUUUGCAUGUCUCAGAAAUUUUUCAACCCUUGGGAGUAUGCUUGCCUUCGCUUGGUCGAGCAGAUCCUGGCAUACUUGGCUUUUGGUCUCGCCAUAAAACAGGCUUUGAGAUUCAGCCUUUACAUGCCUUAGAAAUUUUACAACGCUUGGGAGUCUACUCGCCUUCACUUGGUCGAGCAGAUCCUAGCACGCUUGGCUUUUGGUCUCACCAUAAAACAUGCUUUGAUACUUAGCCUUUGUAUGCCUUAGAAAAUUUUCAACGCUUGGGAGUCUGCUCGCCUUCGCUUGAUCGAGCAGAUCCUGGCACGCUCGGCUUUUGGUCUCGCCAUAAAACAGGUUUUGAGACUUAGCCUUUGCAUUCCUUAGAAAAUUUUCAACGCUUGGGAGUCUGCUCGCCUUCGCUUGGUCGAGCAGAUCCUGGCACGCUUGGCUUUUGGUCUCGCUAUAAAACAUGCUUUGACACUUAGCCUUUGCAUGUCUUAGAAAUUUUUCAACGCUUGGGAGUUUGCUUGCCUUCGCUUGGUUGAGCAGAUCCUGGCACGCUUGGCUUUUGCUCUCGGCAUAAAACAGACUUUGAGACUUAGCCUUUGCAUGUCUUAGAAAUUUUUCAACACUUGGGAGUCUGCUCGCCUUCGCUUGGUUGACCAGAUCCUAGCACGCUUGACUUUUGGUCUCACCAUAAAACAGGCUUUGAUACUUAGCCUUUGUAUGCCUUAGAAAAUUUUCAACGCUUGGGAGUCUGCUCGCCUUCGCUUGGUCGAGCAGAUCCUGGCACGCUUGGCUUUUGGUCUCACCAUAAAACAGGCUUUGAGACUUAGCCUUUGCAUGCCUUAGAAAAUUUUCAACGCUUGGGAGUCUGCUCGCCUUCGCUUGGUCGAGCAGAUCCUGGCACGCUUGGCUUUUGGUCUCGCUAUAAAACAUGCUUUGAGACUUAGCCUUUGCAUGUCUUAGAAAUUUUUCAACGCUUGGGAGUUUGCUUGCCUUCGCUUGGUCGAGCAGAUCCUGGCACGCUAGGCUUUUGCUCUCGCCAUAAAACAGGCUUUGAGACUUAGCCUUUGCAUGUCUUAGAAAUUUUUCAACGCUUGGGAGUCUGCUCGCCUUCGCUUGGUCGAGCAUAUCCUGGCACGCUUGGCUUUUGGUCUCGCCAUAAUACAGGCUUUGAGACUUAGCCUUUGCAUGUCUUAGAAAUUUUUCAACGCUUGGGAGUCUGCUCGCCUUUGCUUGGUCGAGCAGAUCCUGGCACACUUGGCUUUUGGUCUUACCAUAAAACAGCCUUUGAGACUUAGCCUUUUCAUGCCUUAGAAAUUUUUCAACGCUUGGCAGUUUGCUCGCCUUCGCUUGGUCGAGCAGAUCCUGACACGCUUGGCUUUUGGUCUCACCAUAAAACAGGCUUUGAGACUUAGCCUUUGCAUGUCUUAGAAACUUUUCAACGCUUGGGAGUCUGCUCGCCUUCGCUUGGUCGAGCAGAUCCUGGCACGCUUGGCUUUUGGUCUCGCCAUAAAACAGGCUUUGAGACUUAGCCUUUGCAUGUCUUAGAAAUUUUUCAACGCUUGGGAGUCUGCUCGCCUUCGCUUGGUCGAGCAGAUCCUGGCACGCUUGGCUUUUGGUCUCGCCAUAAAACAGGCUUUGAGACUUAGCCUUUGCAUGCCUUAGAAAUUUUACAACGCUUGGGAGUCUGCUCGCCUUUGCUUGGUCGAGCAGAUCCUGGCAUGCUUGGCUUUUAGUCUUACCAUAAAACAGGCUUUGAGACUUAGCCUUUUCAUGCCUUAGAAAUUUUUCAACGCUUGGCAGUUUGCUUGCCUUCGCUUGGUCGAGCAGAUCCUGACACGCUUGGCUUUUGGUCUCACCAUAAAACAAGCUUUGAGACUUAGCCUUUGCAUGUCUUAGAAACUUUUCAACGCUUGGGAGUCUGCUCGCCUUCACUUGGUCGAGCAGAUCCUGGCACGCUUGGCUUUUGGUCUCGCCAUAAUACAGGCUUUGAGACUUAGCCUUUGCAUGUCUUAGAAAUUUUUCAACGCUUGGGAGUCUGCUCGCCUUUGCUUGGUCGAGCAGAUCCUGGCACACUUGGCUUUUGGUCUCGCCAUAAAACAGGCUUUGGGACUUAGCCUUUGCAUGCCUUAGAAAUUUUACAACGCUUGGGAGUUUGCUCGCCUUCGCCUGGUCGAGCAGAUCCUGGCACGCUUGGCUUUUGGUCUUACCAUAAAACAGGCUUUGAGACUUAGCCUUUGCAUGCCUUAGAAAUUUUACAACGCUUGGGAGUCUGCUCGCCUUCGCUUGGUCGAGCAGAUCCUGGCACGCUUGGCUUUUGGUCUUACCAUAAAACAGCCUUUGAGACUUAGCCUUUUCAUGCCUUAGAAAUUUUUCAACGCUUGGCAGUUUGCUUGCCUUCGCUUGGUCGAGCAGAUCCUGACACGCUUGGCUUUUGGUCUCACCACAAAAGAGGCUUUGAGAUUUAGCCUUUGCAUGUCUUAGAAACUUUUCAACGCUUGGGAGUCUGCUCGCCUUCGCUUAGUCGAACAGAUCCUGGCACGCUUGGCUUUUGGUCUCGCCAUAAAACAGGCUUUGAGACUUAGCCUUUGCAUGUCUUAGAAAAUUUUCAACGCUUGGGAGUCUGCUCGCCUUUGCUUGGACGAGCAGAUCCUGGCACACUUGGCUUUUGGUCUCGCCAUAAAACAGGCUUUGAGACUUAGCCUUUGCAUGCCUUAGAAAUUUUACAACGCUUGGGAGUCUGCUCGCCUUUGCUUGGUCGAGCAGAUCCUGGCAUGCUUGGCUUUUAGUCUUACCAUAAAACAGGCUUUGAGACUUAGCCUUUUCAUGCCUUAGAAAUUUUUCAACGCUUGGCAGUUUGCUUGCCUUCGCUUGGUCGAGCAGAUCCUGACACGCUUGGCUUUUGGUCUCACCAUAAAACAAGCUUUGAGACUUAGCCUUUGCAUGUCUUAGAAACUUUUCAACGCUUGGGAGUCUGCUCGCCUUCACUUGGUCGAGCAGAUCCUGGCACGCUUGGCUUUUGGUCUCGCCAUAAUACAGGCUUUGAGACUUAGCCUUUGCAUGUCUUAGAAAUUUUUCAACGCUUGGGAGUCUGCUCGCCUUUGCUUGGUCGAGCAGAUCCUGGCACACUUGGCUUUUGGUCUCGCCAUAAAACAGG